GCUGCAUCCUCUGUAUGGGGCGCACACAAUCACCUAAAGGGAUUCUCUAUGGCUGGUUACUUGAGGUGGCUGACUAAUUGCUGACAAGAAGAUGAUACCUUCGUGUCUAUUACCAAGAAAACGAGCACAGUUUUAAAACUGUGCACACAUU
rnacentral:lncRNA from 1 species